AGUUCUAGGCAGAUAAGGCUGACCCUGAAGUUGCUGUCAGCUGGAGGCUCACAGAGCACGAGCACAGCACAGAAUGUGCUGACCACAUUCCUCUCAGCUGAGCAGCAAGGCCAGUCUUGAAGAAGGACCUGGGCAGUGUAUUGCUAUGUUCACCACAGGCCGGUGCUGAGAAACUUGGGGAAGUCCCGUCCGUCGCCCUGCCAAACGAGGAUGGACAGGUUUGACAUGCAGCACUGGGAGUCUAUCAGUGAACAAGCUACGUAUUGUCUCUGCCUUCAUGGAGAUUCCCACCUAUUAUGGGAGACAUACAUCUAAAAAAUAUCAUGGAACUGGCCAAGUUAAUGGAUACCUUGAAUGAUUGCAUCAAGUACAAAGGAUUGGGACAAGUGGACUGAGAUGAAAUUUGACGGAAAUAAAGUGAGAAGUAUGUAGACUUUCGUAAGCUGCUCGUCUUCAUGGGGUUUUGAGAAGGGAAGAUGCCUCUGGUAAUUUCUAAAAUGAAGCUACUGGAGGAGAUGCUCCACCACAAUGAGAGAGUAAACAAAUAAAAAGGAAGAUGUGGGACCUGGGAAACAGGAGAUUCCAUGGGAGACAGAGGUGAAGAGCAUCCUCAAGAACUGGACUUUCUCCCUCUGGAAACUGCAUUAUAGAGAAGGCCACUGAAGUUGUAAUGGGUUUGACAAAGUGACCUCAGAAUUGGCCUGAAGCCAGCGGAAUAUCCUCCCAAGGGCAGGAUUCAGCCCUUUAAGUCAUCACCCUCUGAAGAGAAGCUGCAGAGAUCCUUCUGAGGGUGUGCAUCAUAAUUACUUGGAAAGCUUGUGAAAUGAAGAAUCUCAAGACUUGCCGACAGUUUCUGGUUUGUCUGGAGCCCGGGAAUCUGCAUUUUAACAAGAAACAAGUUCAUAGUCAUACUGGUGUUGAAGGGCUGUUUCUCCCAGGUAUUGGGGCCUGUGGAAGUUGCCUGAAGAUGGGCCAUAGGCACAAAAUGAAGUCCCAUAAGCAGAAAGAAAGAACAUUUCAGAGGGAACUAGGGAACGUGGUCAGAGAGGUGCGCAAUGAGCAAAACAAAAAGGACACUAAUGAGAUGUGGGAGAAAGCGUGUUAAAAGCUGAAGCGAGAGCUAGAGAGAGUCUUUUUAGCUUAUAACAUCCAGAUUUGCCUGUUGAGAUGAAAUAGAAGACAGGAAAAGGAGAAGAAAUAGAAGAUGACCAAGUUGCUGUUAAAGCAUUUAUUAAAUUAGCCCACACUUCUAGCUAAAUUCCCUGGUCAUUUGAUCAGUCUUAUGUCCCAACAUUUCUCUUUGAGAUACUUAUUGCACCAUAGCAAAAUCAUAAGAAAGUCCUAUCAGAAAUAAAUGACUGAUUGAAUUCAUUGCCCUUAUUCUCAGAAGUUCUACUGAGGUGCCUACCUUCUGUAGAGAGGAAGAUGGAAUUUCAGAGGAGCUGAAAGGAAAUCACAUUCAGAAGAGAUAGGAUCUAAAAUCGCCAGUAGAAAGAUGGAAGCCUGUUAUUCCCUGCCUCAGGAAAGAAAACAUCAAAACUUCAAAGUUCAAGUGCCUAUUUUAAGAGUUUAGAGUUCAAAAUGGCAUCUGGUUAGCCACUGGUGAUUACAAAAUUUCUAUGUAUGGAAGGCUUGGAGGCAGCAAUAGGGUUGGAAGGAAGCCUGAAGUUGGGUUUGCAUAGCAUUUUACAUUAAGUUUGAGAAAGUCAGCUGUUCAUCUCAAAGGAUAAAGGGUGAUGGGGAUUAUUGGUGGUGGCUUAGGGGUGGCUAAAACCAUCCCAGACCCUUUUUUGGUGUGCCAACAAUGAGGCUACUACUCCCUGAGGCAGGCUCACACAAUAUCUCACUAAAACAUCUAUAAAACCACAGGAAAAAUGAAAACAUGAGUCUUAAAGAGACUAAUAAACUGUUGCCUAUGUUCUGGAGGGGACUGGACUGAAUAUGAAGACCUUAAAAUAACCUCUGCACACCCUCCCACCUGAAAUGAAGGAAGGUGGACGUCCCCACCCCUGCAGCCUCUUCGUUUCAAAGCAGACACUUGCUGGUCUACCAAUCCACUCAGUGCCCUUGGGCCAUCCUCGUGAAGGCAUCGGGGAACAUCUGGAUCCCCCCCAUGGCACACGCACGCAUGGGAUGCCAUCUCUGCGCCGCCUCCCUUUGCCAAUGCUGCAUUAUAUCUCUCACCCAGUGUUAAACAUCACAUUGAGCCACUAUAGAUAGGGCUUCUCUAGACCCAGGCGAGCAGUCCACUAACUCCAAGAUCCUCAUUUUCCCUAACACAUUUUCUAGAUGUUUUUUAUUGACCUCCAUGCUAAGGGGAGGAAAGUGAGAUCACUGGGACCUGACUUUAUCCUCUCUCUUCUUUUUCUUCAAACUCCACUAGAAAAAGAACAGAUGGACUGUCAUUCCUUUCUGUGUGACAGGGUUUGCUUACUGAGUUCUCUCUGCUUUAUAUGUGUAGCGGAACUCUAUGAUCAAGUCAGCAGUCACGUGAGAGCUUAGGGAAUUUAGAAACUCCUUUUCUCUCUGGGCAAAGGCCCUUGACAGUCAGAAGCUGACCAUUAAAUGCUUUCUUUCUCUUGCAUUCCUGCUGUUAACAGUCCUAAUUACCCCUGACCCUUAUCCAAGUCAGAUGGAGGGUCAAAAAAGGAAAACCAUACUAAAAUAUUUCCGAAAAUAUUUUUCAUAUUACACAGACAUUCCCCCAGUUUGUCAUUGUUUUGAGCGUUGCUUGUUUUUAUUUAUAGCCAUUUUUAAUUGUUAUGUGAUUCCCUUAUUGAAUAAGGGAGCAGACUGCCGCCUCAGGACUGUCGCACUUAGCUUCCCUUCAAUCUGCAAUGCUCACCCUCACCCCAUCUUCAUCUCCUUAUCUGCUCUCCUCAGGUCUCUGUUCAAAUGCCAUCCUUACAAAAGGUCUUUCCUGACCAUUCCAUCUCAAAUAAGCACUCCCCUAAUUACUUUGCAUUCACUUUUCUCUAAUCUUCUUCAUAGCACUUAUUACCACCUGACGUAUUAUUUGUUUAUUGGUUGAUUUUGUCUCCUCCCAUUGGAAUGUAAGCUCCUUGAAGGAGAGGUAUAUUUUGUUAACUGUCAUAUCCCCAAGGUCUAAACUUGGACUUUUCUGCAUUUAUUAAGAUGUAUCUUUUUCCUCCUUUGACCUCAUUUUGGGAUGACUUAUGAAUAAAAUUACAAAUCAUUUUUAAAUUCCUAGAAGUAAUUUUAUGUAGUUAUUUUGAAAACGUAUAAUAUUGCCAUCUGUUUUAUAAUGUUGCUUUUAGAAUAUUUUCAUCUAUAUUUAUAAGUCAAUUGAUUUG
ensembl:lncRNA